AAACUUUGAUCCUCCAGAGUCAUGGUGAGAUGAUACCUUUCAGGCAAUUCAUUUAUCAGAACAUACUGCAUUUCCAACUAAAUCCAUGAUCAUCUCUAGCUUUCUUCAAUUUCAGAUCUGCAAUUAGUUUGUGUUUUUCUUGUUUGUCUUGAAUGCAGAUGAACAGUCCUCAAGCCCUUUGCAGUUUCAUGGCUUGAAGGAAUGAAUUUACUUAAGUGGCAAACAAUUAUACCAUUGGUUUUAUUCGGAAUCUUAUUGAUAGGAAGCAACUAAUUGAUGCUGUUAGAUGCAUUUUGCAAGUUAAUCGACAAGAUCCCUAGCCUACAAUUUUAAAAAGAUAAUGUGCAUGCAUGAUGCAAGAAACUGCCAGGGAAAAUUGCAGGAAAAAGUUAUAUUAUCAUUUGGUGAAACGGAGAAGGUCGUAGACAGCUCUCGUCUCCAGGAGUCCAGGGUUGAUCAACAAGAUCAGAAGAAAAGGAAGCGACCAAGAAUCACCACUUCUGCCC